rnacentral:rRNA from 1 species
CUUGCUUCUUUGCUGACGAGUGGCGGACGGGUGAGUAAUGUCUGGGAAACUGCCUGAUGGAGGGGGAUAACUACUGGAAACGGUAGCUAAUACCGCAUAACGUCGCAAGACCAAAGAGGGGGACCUUCGGGCCUCUUGCCAUCGGAUGUGCCCAGAUGGGAUUAGCUAGUAGGUGGGGUAACGGCUCACCUAGGCGACGAUCCCUAGCUGGUCUGAGAGGAUGACCAGCCACACUGGAACUGAGACACGGUCCAGACUCCUACGGGAGGCAGCAGUGGGGAAUAUUGCACAAUGGGCGCAAGCCUGAUGCAGCCAUGCCGCGUGUAUGAAGAAGGCCUUCGGGUUGUAAAGUACUUUCAGCGGGGAGGAAGGGAGUAAAGUUAAUACCUUUGCUCAUUGACGUUACCCGCAGAAGAAGCACCGGCUAACUCCGUGCCAGCAGCCGCGGUAAUACGGAGGGUGCAAGCGUUAAUCGGAAUUACUGGGCGUAAAGCGCACGCAGGCGGUUUGUUAAGUCAGAUGUGAAAUCCCCGGGCUCAACCUGGGAACUGCAUCUGAUACUGGCAAGCUUGAGUCUCGUAGAGGGGGGUAGAAUUCCAGGUGUAGCGGUGAAAUGCGUAGAGAUCUGGAGGAAUACCGGUGGCGA